rnacentral:lncRNA from 1 species
GUGUCCCCUCAUUCCCACAUCCCAGCAGGUACCCAUGACCCAGGCACCACCCCUGGUGGGCUGUGUCCCCUCAUUCCCACAUCCCAGCAGGUACCCAUGACCCAGGCACCAACCUUGGUGGGCUGUGUCCCCUCAUCCCAGCAGGUACCCAUGGCCCAACCACCACCCCUGGUGGGCUGUGUCCCCUCAUCCCCACAUCCCAGCAGGUACCCAUGACCCAGGCACCAACCCUGGUGGGCUGUGUCCCCUCAUCCCCACGUCCCCAUUCCCGUGUCCCCACAGGUCAGUGCCAGCAGCUCCGAUGCCAUCGCUGUCCACGCCCUCAGGGUGCUCACGGCCAUCAUGAGCAACUCGCCCUCGGCCAAGGAGGUGUUCAAGGAGCGCAUUGGUUACACCCACCUCUACGAGGUGCUGAGGAGCCAGGGCCAGCCCACCCAGCGUCUGCUCCAGGAGCUCCUCAACAUGGCAGUGGAGGGCGACCACAGCUCCUUCCCAGUGCGUCCCAUCCGCAACGAGCAGCCCCUGCUGAUCCUGCUGGCGUGGCUGCCGGCGCUNUCAUCCCUAUCCUCAUUUUCAUCCUUGUCACCUUUCUGAUGCUAAACAAACCUGAGAUAGGGUGACA